AUUGAACGCUGGCGGCAGGCUUAACACAUGCAAGUCGAGCGAGCGGCGGACGGGUGAGGAAUGUCUGGGAAACUGCCUGAUGGAGGGGGAUAACUACUGGAAACGGUAGCUAAUACCGCAUACCAUCAGAUGUGCCCAGAUGGGAUUAGCUUGUGGGUGGGGUAAUGGCUCACCUAGGCGACGAUCCCUAGCUGGUCGGAGAGGAUGACCAGCCGCACUGGAACUGGGACACGGUCCAGACUGCUUGGGGAGGCACCAGUGUGGAAUCUGGCGCAAUGGGCGCAAGCCUGAUGCAGCCGUGCCGCGUGUGUGAAGAAGGCAUUCGGGUUGUACAGCAAUGUCAGCCGGGAGGCGUUACUCACAGAAGAAGCACCGGCUAACUCCGUGCCAGCAGCCGCGGUAAUUC
rnacentral:rRNA from 1 species